rnacentral:rRNA from 1 species
GACGAACCGUGCGAACGUUAUUCGGAAUCAUUGGGCGUAAAGCGCGCGUAGGCGGCCCGGUAAGUCCGCUCUGAAAGUCCAGGGCUCAACCCUGGAAAGCGGGUGGAUACUGCCGGGCUAGAAUCCGGAAGAGGCGAGUGGAAUUCCUGGUGUAGCGGUGGAAUGCGCAGAUAUCAGGAGGAACACCAAUAGCGAAGGCAGCUCGCUGGGACGGUAUUGACGCUAAGGCGGCGAAAGCGUGGGGGAGCAAA